rnacentral:sRNA from 1 species
CUCUGAAAACAGGGGAUGAAUAGCUUAUGAAAGUACUCUGGAAAAUAACUUGGUUGCUAGGAAACUUGAUAGGUCUAAACAAUGACCUUUAAAACUAUAUAUAUGACCUAAAAAACAUGUAGGGACUAAUAAUAAAAAUAGAGAAGUCUUCUGGGGCAAAUUUCUAAUUCUUCAAACUUAAAAGCGUCAUGAACUUCUUUCGGCCGCAACUGGUGUCGAUCGACACGAAGAGUCUGUGGAUCGACACUAUCAACUGGAUCUGAAAGUGAAUUCGUCCUUUAGCUUCUUUUCUUCAGCUUUUGCUCCAAAAUGUCUUCUCAUCUUCAUUGUUGUCCUUCUCCAUAGAAUACCUGAAAAGACUCUAAAAAGACUCUAGAAAUAACAAAAAGACUCAAAACUCUAUAUUUAAAACAUAGUUUAAAAC